AUUGAACGCUGGCGGCAGGCCUAACACAUGCAAGUCGAGCGAGCGGCGGACGGGUGCGUAAUGUAUGGGGACUGCCCGAUAGAGGGGGGAAACUACUGGAAACGGUGGCUAAUACCGCAUACUGUAGGAUACCCCAUAUGGGAUUAGCUAGUAGGUAAGGGAAUGGCUUACCUAGGCGACGAUCCCUAGCUGGUCUGAGAGGAUGAUCAGCCACACUGGGACUGAGACACGGCCCAGACUCCUACGGAGGCAGCAGUGGGGAAUAUUGCACAAUGGGCGCAAGCCUGAUGCAGCCAUGCCGCGUGUAUGAAGAAGGCCUUAGGGUUGUAAAGUACUUUCAGUCGGGAGGCGUUACCGACAGAAGAAGCACCGGCUAACUCCGUGCCAGCAGCCGCGGUAAUUC
rnacentral:rRNA from 1 species